GACAGAGGUGCCGAGCGUUAGGCGGAAUCACUGGGCUUAAAGCGUGUGUAGGCGGGCGGGCAAGUACCUUGUGAAAUCCCACGGCUCAACCGUGGAACGGCUGGGUAUACUGCCUGUCUUGAGCCAACUAGGGGCGAGCGGAACAGACGGUGGAGCGGUGAAAUGCGUAGAUAUCGUCUGGAACGCCAAAGGUGAAAACAGCUCGCUGGGGCUGUGCUGACGCUGAGACACGAAAGCCAGGGGAGCGAACGGG
rnacentral:rRNA from 1 species